rnacentral:rRNA from 1 species
UACAGAGGGCUCAAGCGUUAAUCGGAAUCACUGGGCUUAAAGGGUCCGCAGGCGGAUUGGAAAGUAUCUUGUGAAAUACCACGGCUCAACCGUGGAACUGCUCGGUAAACUUCCAAUCUUGAACACGAGGCAGGGCUCGGAACUCUAGGUGGAGCGGUGAAAUGCGUAGAUAUCUAGAGGAACGCCAGAGGCGAAGGCGGAUGGCUGGGCCGUUGUUGACGCUCAGGGACGAAAGCAUGGGUAGCGAACGGGAUUAGAUACCCCCUGUCAGUCC